UGGAAUGAAUGGUUGGAUGAAAAAUUUACUUUCUUUAUUUUAAAAAUAAAAAUUAAUUAUUGGCUUAAAAAGUCUAAAUUUUAUUAAAGGACGAGAAGACCCUAUAGAACUUUACUUUUUUUUAUGUAAUUAUUUAUUUGAAAAUAAUUAGUUUUUAUUUAUUAAAAAGUUUUGUUGGGGUGACAAAAAAAAAUUAAUAACUUUUUUUAUUUUUAUCAUUUAUGUAUGAUUUUGUUUGAUCCUUUAUUAUGGAUAAUAAGAUUUAGUUACCUUAGGGAUAACAGCGUUAUUAUUUCAAAGAGUUCAUAUUUAUGAAAUAGUUUGCCACCUCG
rnacentral:rRNA from 1 species